rnacentral:rRNA from 1 species
AGUGAACGCUGGCGGUAGGCCUAACACAUGCAAGUCGAACGGCAGCACAGUAAGAGCUUGCUCUUACGGGUGGCGAGUGGCGGACGGGUGAGGAAUACAUCGGAAUCUACUUUUUCGUGGGGGAUAACGUAGGGACACUUACGCUAAUACCGCAUACGACCUACGGGUGAAAGCAGGGGAGCUUCGGACCUUGCGCGAUUCAAUGAGCCGAUGUCGGAUUAGCUAGUUGGCGGGGUAAAGGCCCACCAAGGCGACGAUCCGUAGCUGGUCUGAGAGGAUGAUCAGCCACACUGGAACUGAGACACGGUCCAGACUCCUACGGGAGGCAGCAGUGGGGAAUAUUGGACAAUGGGCGCAAGCCUGAUCCAGCCAUACCGCGUGGGUGAAGAAGGCCUUCGGGUUGUAAAGCCCUUUUGUUGGGAAAGAAAAGCAGCAGGUGAAUACCCCGCUGUUCUGACGGUACCCAAAGAAUAAGCACCGGCUAACUUCGUG